ACGAACGCUGGCGGCGUGCUUAACACCUGCCGGUCGAACGGUGAACUCCGCUUGCGGGGGGAUCAGUGGCGAACGGGUGAGUAACACGUGGGCAACCUGCCCUCAGCUCUGGGAUAACUCCAAGAAAUUGGGGCUAAUACCGGAUAUGACCGCUGACCGCAUGGUCUGGUGGUGGAAAGAUUUAUCGGCUGGGGAUGGGCCCGCGGCCUAUCAGCUUGUUGGUGGGGUAGUGGCCUACCAAGGCGACGACGGGUAGCCGGCCUGAGAGGGUGACCGGCCACACUGGGACUGAGACACGGCCCAGACUCCUACGGGAGGCAGCAGUGGGGAAUAUUGCGCAAUGGGCGAAAGCCUGACGCAGCGACGCCGCGUGGGGGAUGACGGCCUUCGGGUUGUAAACCUCUUUCAGCAGGGACGAAGCGAAAGUGACGGUACCUGCAGAAGAAGCACCGGCCAACUACGUG
rnacentral:rRNA from 1 species